CCUACGGGAGGCAGCAGUGAGGAAUAUUGGUCAAUGGCCGCAGGGCUGAACCAGCCAAGUCGCGUGAGGGAUGACGGUCCUAUGGAUUGUAAACCUCUUUUGUCAGGGAGCAAAGGGCGCCACGUGUGGCGCUUUGCGAGUACCUGAAGAAAAAGCAUCGGCUAACUCCGUGCCAGCAGCCGCGGUAAUACGGAGGAUGCGAGCGUUAUCCGGAUUUAUUGGGUUUAAAGGGUGCGCAGGCGGAAUGUCAAGUAAGCGGUAAAAUUUCGGGGCUCAACCCCGACGUGCCGUUGAAACUGGCGUUCUUGAGUGAGCGAGAAGUAAGCGGAAUGCGUGGUGUAGCGGUGAAAUGCAUAGAUAUCACGCAGAACUCCGAUUGCGAAGGCAGCAUACCGGCGCUCAACUGACGCUCAUGCACGAAAGCGUGGGUAUCGAACAGGAUUAGAUACCCUUGUAGUC
rnacentral:rRNA from 1 species